rnacentral:rRNA from 1 species
UUAUUGGAGAGUUUGAUCCUGGCUCAGGACGAACGCUGGCGGCGUGCCUAAUACAUGCAAGUCGAGCGGACUUUUGGGAGCUUGCUCCCAAAAGUUAGCGGCGGACGGGUGAGUAACACGUGGGCAACCUGCCUAUAAGACUGGGAUAACUUCGGGAAACCGGAGCUAAUACCGGAUAAUUCCUUUCCUCUCAUGAGGAAAGGCUGAAAGACGGUUUCGGCUGUCACUUAUAGAUGGGCCCGCGGCGCAUUAGCUAGUUGGUGAGGUAACGGCUCACCAAGGCGACGAUGCGUA